UGGGGGGGUCUUACCAUGCAGUCGAACGAUGAAGCCCAGCUUGCUGGGUGGAUUAGUGGCGAACGGGUGAGUAACACGUGAGUAACCUGCCCCCGACUCUGGGAUAAGCCCGGGAAACUGGGUCUAAUACCGGAUAUGACCUCGCACCGCAUGGUGCGGGGUGGAAAGAUUUAUCGGUGGGGGAUGGACUCGCGGCCUAUCAGCUUGUUGGUGAGGUAAUGGCUCACCAAGGCGACGACGGGUAGCCGGCCUGAGAGGGUGACCGGCCACACUGGGACUGAGACACGGCCCAGACUCCUACGGGAGGCAGCAGUGGGGAAUAUUGCACAAUGGGCGAAAGCCUGAUGCAGCGACGCCGCGUGAGGGAUGACGGCCUUCGGGUUGUAAACCUCUUUCAGUAGGGAAGAAGCGAAAGUGACGGUACCUGCAGAAGAAGCGCCGGCUAACUACGUGCCAGCAGCCGCGGUAAUACGUAGGGCGCAAGCGUUAUCCGGAUUUAUUGGGCGUAAAGAGCUCGUAGGCGGUUUGUCGCGUCUGCCGUGAAAGUCCGAGGCUCAACCUCGGAUCUGCGGUGGGUACGGGCAGACUAGAGUGAUGUAGGGGAGACUGGAAUUCCUGGUGUAGCGGUGAAAUGCGCAGAUAUCAGGAGGAACACCGAUGGCGAAGGCAGGUCUCUGGGCAUUUACUGACGCUGAGGAGCGAAAGCAUGGGGAGCGAACAGGAUUAGAUACCCUGGUAGUCCAUGCCGUAAACGUUGGGCACUAGGUGUGGGGGACAUUCCACGUUUUCCGCGCCGUAGCUAACGCAUUAAGUGCCCCGCCUGGGGAGUACGGCCGCAAGGCUAAAACUCAAAGGAAUUGACGGGGGCCCGCACAAGCGGCGGAGCAUGCGGAUUAAUUCGAUGCAACGCGAAGAACCUUACCAAGGCUUGACAUGUGCCAGACCGCCUCAGAGAUGGGGUUUCCCUUCGGGGCUGGUUCACAGGUGGUGCAUGGUUGUCGUCAGCUCGUGUCGUGAGAUGUUGGGUUAAGUCCCGCAACGAGCGCAACCCUCGUUCCAUGUUGCCAGCACGUAGUGGUGGGGACUCAUGGGAGACUGCCGGGGUCAACUCGGAGGAAGGUGGGGAUGACGUCAAAUCAUCAUGCCCCUUAUGUCUUGGGCUUCACGCAUGCUACAAUGGCCGGUACAAUGGGUUGCGAUACUGUGAGGUGGAGCUAAUCCCUAAAAGCCGGUCUCAGUUCGGAUUGGGGUCUGCAACUCGACCCCAUGAAGUCGGAGUCGCUAGUAAUCGCAGAUCAGCAACGCUGCGGUGAAUACGUUCCCGGGCCUUGUACACACCGCCCGUCAAGUCACGAAAGUUGGUAACACCCGAAGCCGAUGGCCUAACCACCUUGUGUGGGGGGAGUCGUCGAAGGUGGGACUGGCGAUUGGGACUAAGUCGUAACAAGUAGCUCCCCC
rnacentral:rRNA from 1 species